rnacentral:rRNA from 1 species
GACGAAGGGGGCUAGCGUUGUUCGGAAUUACUGGGCGUAAAGCGCGUGUAGGCGGUUGCCCAAGUCGGGUGUGAAAGCCUUGAGCUCAACUCAAGAAAUGCACUCGGUACUGGGUGACUGAGAGGACCGGAGAGGAUAGUGGAAUUCCCAGUGUAGUGGUGAAAUACGUAGAGAUUGGGAAGAACACCAGUGGCGAAGGCGGCUAUCUGGACGGUUUCUGACGCUAAGACGCGAAAGCGUGGGGAGCAAACAGG